rnacentral:rRNA from 1 species
GAUGAACGCUGGCGGCGUGCUUAACACAUGCAAGUCGAACGAAGCACUUAUGACUUCUUCGGAAGGAUUGAGUGACUGAGUGGCGGACGGGUGAGUAACGCGUGGGUAACCUGCCUUAUACAGGGGGAUAACAGUUAGAAAUGACUGCUAAUACCGCAUAAGCGCACAGUAUCGCAUGAUACAGUGUGAAAAGCCGAGACGGUAUAAGAUGGACCCGCGUCUGAUUAGCUAGUUGGUGAGGUAACGGCCCACCAAGGCGACGAUCAGUAGCCGGUCUGAGAGGAUGAACGGCCACAUUGGGACUGAGAUACGGCCCAGACUCCUACGGGAGGCAGCAGUGGGGAAUAUUGGGCAAUGGGGGAAACCCUGACCCAGCAACGCCGCGUGAAGGAGAAGGCCUGUGUAAUCUUUACCUAGGUACGAAGAACGUAGACGGUACC